GACGUAGGGCGCGAGCGUUGUCCGGAUUUACUGGGCGUAAAGAGCUCGUAGGCGGCUUGUCGCGUCGUCCGUGAAAACCCACAGCUCAACUGUGGGCUUGCGGUCGAUACGGGCAGGCUAGAGUUCGGUAGGGGAGACUGGAAUUCCUGGUGUAGCGGUGAAAUGCGCAGAUAUCAGGAGGAACACCGGUGGCGAAGGCGGGUCUCUGGGCCGAUACUGACGCUGAGGAGCGAAAGCGUGGGGAGCGAACAGG
rnacentral:rRNA from 1 species